rnacentral:sRNA from 1 species
GCUUGGCACAGUGGCGCAUGCCUGUAAUCCCAGCGGCUUGGGAAGCUGAGGCAGGAGAAUCGCAGGUUCAAAGCCAGACUCAGCAAUAGCCAGGUGCUAAGCAACUCAGCGAGACCCUGUCUCUA